rnacentral:lncRNA from 1 species
GGAAACUUCACCUUGACCAAUUUGAGGACCACUGACUUGGAAAGUAUAUUCUCUUUCAGAGCAGGAGGGAUGAACAAGAUUUGACUCCUGCAGCCUCUAGAUGGCUGCCUUAGGAUCUGGGCAAGUGCAGCCUGCCUCAGCUCCCAUCUGUGUCUACUUUACAUUCCAGUAGAACAGGGCUGUUUGCUGUUGCCUGUUCUUUCUGAUUAACCUGUACUCAUCGUGUACAUCUUUGACCAGCACCAUCCACUCCAUUAAUCUUCCUGGAGAAUCUUCAAGAGAAGUAGAAUUUACUUUCCAUGACCCCUACCACUUUGAAGAAUAUUUAGUAGUUGUUUUUUCUGGCAUGUCUUUGUCAAAAGAAUUAUUUUUUAUGCCAAAGAAACCUAAGAAGUAUCCUAAUGUCAGCACCUUCAAAUGGAAAAUGUUUCAAGAAGGCUUCUCAUCAUCAACCUGCUUUCAUGUCCAUUUUCAUGUGAAUUGUUGAUGGGAAAAUAGAAUUUCAUCACUACCGUUGGUGAAGACAUUCCUAAGAACACAGAGUUAGUGCAUGCAGUUACCUGGGGGGGUUGGGAGGGGGUGGGGGAAGAGGGCUUGCAGAACUUUAUAGCAGCCCAGGCUCACUAAGAUUUGCUAUGUCCACUUAUACACCUUAUGAAGUCCUCUAUGCCAUGGCAAGUUCUCUUGGGAGUCACACCUUCAUUUCUUGGGUCCCCUUGGGUUUUUCAGACCACCACUUAUUAGUCACAUGAUCAUUAAAAAGUAAAUGCACCUCUCUGACAUCAAUUCUUAGUUUGAGAAAUAGAAUAAUAAUUCGGACCCAGCCUACCUCAAAGGCCCAUUAUCAAGGUCAAAAAUGAUGUAUGUGAUGAGCUUUUUAAAAGUAAAAUUUAUGAAGCAAACACGAAGUAGUGAAUUGUGGUGAUAUCAACAUUUUGAUACAAAACUCACUUGGUUUAGUAAUUUGAAGAGGAUGCCAUCUAUAUCUUUUUAUAACCGGGAGCUUUUGAUACCUUUUUCCUAAACUACAAAACUCAUAGAACCUUCGUUAGCUUCUCUGUGCCCCAGCCCUUCAAUAAAUUGACAUCACAAUAGAGGUUAAAAUAAGGCAAACUCACAGUGGCCUAGAGAUACGUGUUUGUGUGUGUCUGUGUGUGUGCAUUUAAGAAGAUGCACGUGUACCUUUGACCUAGCACCUACCUGUGUUCAUACAAUUAAAAAAGAAAUAAUGACUCAUUAAGCAAACAAGUUCUAGAAAAAAAUACUCAUUUAAUACAAUCACAGUGACUUCCUCACUGUUUCCACUUCAUUGCUCCUUAUGUGAGUAAAAACAACAUGCUAAAUGGAGACUUUCAGGACCCCGUGGGACCAAUUAAUGCCACGUGACUUCCUCCCUGCCUUCCAUGAAAAUAACUAUAUUAUAAUGGUCUGUGAUAUUAAUAUCAGCUUUGGAAAAGUCAGGCAGUGACUCCAUAGGGAAGGAAGUGGCCUGUGCAAGAACUGUGGAAUGUGCAGUAUUUGACAGACUGGAGGCCACAUCUUUUUAUAAGCUACAUCACAGAGUUAAACAAGGUGGGGGCACCAACUGGGCUAGUGGGUUAAUUCAGGUUAAAAGGCCACCAGGGUAGUCUAUCUCUGAUCUUGAACUCCAAGAAAAUGUGGUUACUGGGGGGAGUUUUGGAAAUUAAAGUUCUCAGAAAUAAAACCAUUUCCAAAGCAUUAUUUUCCUCUGAAUUUCUCCAGAUUUCUGCCCACCACAGAGGCAGGAUGUAUUUUGACAACCUCUGUUUGUAUUGGAGGGUAGACCUGGGAUGAGGAGUGGUGGGUACACCUCCCAAGUGUGUUGGCAGCUUGAUGGGGUUUUCCAGUGACAGUGGAGCACAGCAGAACCAAAGGGAAUGUGAGCCACAACACUGGUAGCCAGUCCAGGCUUCCUUCAAAUGCAGUUAUAGGAAUCCCAGGCCCAUGCAACACCCAGGCCCCAUCCUAGUCCCACUCCCUGCUGGGUCCUGGAGAGAUUCAGUGUUCUCCCUGUGGCUAGGCAGAUUCUCCUCUCUAGCAUAUGGCAAUGAGCCCGUUAAUUUUCUUGGUUGUAAAUUGCUGUAGUGCAUUAACAACACUCAAGGGUGGUCCCAAAGCACAAUUGAGGAUAUUAAGUUCUCCUGGGAACAGAUGUUUAAUGGUACAUCUAAUUAUCCAGGAAAGAUUGCCUAAGACAAUGAUCUAGAUCCAAUUCCUGGACAGUGGCUAAUGGUUUGGCCAGACAGUCAGAGGCUUGGAAGGAAUAAUAUUGGAGAAUUGGUGAUGGGGAAGAUUAGGGAAGAAUGAACCCAAUGU